rnacentral:lncRNA from 1 species
GACUCCCCUGUGGAGAGAAACAAGGCUCGGUGACCAAACACGCGUAGAAAGGAAAGGGAAUAAUUGUGAAGCCUAUUGCCUUCAAGUCUAUUGAAAUCAGCUUUAAUUGAGGCUCAGAAUCGGCUCACCCAGGAGAAAAAGAACACCUGUCCAUUACCAUCACAAGGCUCAGCUGCUCUAGUGGGAAAAGGUCGUGGUUUCUUUGGGGUGUGAUGGUUCCUGCAGCAGUAGAGGAAGACUCGUUAAUAUAGAGGUGACAAAAGAUGGGUCUCUACCAGUGAUCUCUGCCGAACCCCACCAGAGCUGCCAUUUGCUGCCAGAGCUUCA